CAGUUACGAAAAUGACAAGUUGAUAGGACCAACAUUUUGUGAGAUAUUAGUAAUUUUGGAAUACAAUAGCCUUACAGUCACGUUGCUAUGGCCAGGACACUUUGGCGCUGACUGCUGGACAGAUGUGGUACAGCAUGUACGGAUAUACAACAACAUAAAAACUACCACAUGUA